rnacentral:rRNA from 1 species
GACGAACGCUGGCGGCGUGCUUAACACAUGCAAGUCGAACGGGCCUGUCUUCUUUUUUGGGGGUGGGUUGAGUGGCGAACGGGUGAGUAUCACGUGAGUAACCUGCCCUUCGGUCCUGGAUAACCGCUUGAAAGGGCGGCUAAUACGGGGUGGUCCGGUUGGUCCGCAUGGGCUGGUCGGGUUAGAUUCACUGUUUUUGGUGUUUCGGCGGGGGAUGGGCUCGCGGCCUAUCAGCUUGUUGGUGGGGUGAUGGCCUACCAAGGCGGUGACGGGUAGCCGGCCUGGGAGGGUGGGCGGCCACACUGGGACUGAGAUACGGCCCAGACUCCUGCGGGAGGCAGCAGUGGGGGGUAUUGCACAAUGGGCGGAAGCCUGAUGCAGCGACGUCGCGUGAGGGAUGGAGGCCUUCGGGUUGUGAACCUCUGUUUCCGGUGGUGAAGGCCCUGUCCGUGUGGUGGGGUUGACGGUAGCCGGGGAUGAAGCGCCGGCUAACUACGUG